AUUGAACGCUAGCGGCAGGCCUAAUACAUGCAAGACUAGGGGGCAGCAAUGUCACCGUCGCACGGGUGCGUAACGCGUAUGCAACCUACCUAUCACAGGGGGAUAGCCUUUGGAAACAGGGAUUAUUACCGCAUAAAGCAGGGGCUCCGCAUGGAGAUAUUGCUAAAGAUUUAUCGGUGAUAGAUGGGCAUGCGUCUGAUUAGUUAGAUGGUGGGGUAACGGCCUACCAUGACGAUGAUCAGUAGGGGGCGUCAGAGCGUGGUCCCCCACACUGGCACUGAGAUACGGGCCAGACUCCUACUGGAGGCAGCAGUAGGGAAUAUUGGGCAAUGGAUGCAAGUCUGACCCAGCCAUGCCGCGUGCAGGAAGAAGGUCCUCUGGAUUGUAAACUGCUUCUUUGGGGGAAGAAGAGACACCUUGCGAGGUGUUGUGACGGUACCCUAAGAAUAAGCCACGGCUAACUACGUGCCAGCCGCCGCCGUAAGAC
rnacentral:rRNA from 1 species